CCGCGCAGGAGGCGGAGGCAGAGGAUCCGAGAUUUCGGGGCCCACCUUCCCGCUGGAUGGAGAGUUACCCAGCGCCGGAGUGGGCGCUCCAGUGGAGGAGAACUUACCUGGGAGGCGGCGGCUGUGGGUGGACUGCCGAAGGAGUCCACCGAAGACAGAUACUGAGACUCGGCAGAGGGCCCCCACAAGAUGCCGCUAUGCCUCCUGGAAGUCCAGGCUCCGGAGGACCCAGGAGCGUGGCGGGGGUCGGGGGAGAUCGCUCCCCCAGAGGCGGAAAGCGCUGUCCUGCUGUAUAGAAUCUGCUUCGGAUGCGGUCU